GCUUAUACAUGCAAGUCGAACGAGAAGCCCUUCGGGGUGGAAAGUGGCGCACGGGUGAGUAACACGUAGGUAAUCUACCCACGAGUAGUGGAUAACGUUCCGAAAGGAACGCUAAUACAGUAUAAUACCAUGCUUCUUCGGAAGUCUGGCCAAAGCGGAGGACCUUCGGGCUUCGCGCUUGUGGAUGAGCCUGCGGCCCAUCAGCUAGUUGGUAGUGUAACGGACUACCAAGGCUAAGACGGGUAGCUGGUCUGAGAGGAUGAACAGCCACACUGGAACUGAGACACGGUCCAGACUCCUACGGGAGGCAGCAGUAGGGAAUCUUGCGCAAUGGGCGAAAGCCUGACGCAGCGAUGCCGCGUGAGCGAUGAAGGCCUUCGGGUUGUAAAGCUCUGUGGAUGGAGACGAAUAAGCUGUAGUUAAUACCUGCAGUGGUGACGGUAUCCAUUUAGCAAGCACCGGCUAACUCUGUGCCAGCAGCCGCGGUAAGACAGAGGGUGCAAACGUUGUUCGGAAUUACUGGGCGUAAAGCGCGUAUAGGCGGCUUGGUAAGUCGGAUGUGAAAUCCCGUGGCUCAACCAUGGAAGUGCAUCCGAAACUGCUAGGCUAGAGUAUCGGAGAGGAAGGUGGAAUGCUUGGUGUAGAGGUGAAAUUCGUAGAUAUCAAGCGGAACACCGGUGGCGAAGGCGGCCUUCUGGACGAUUACUGACGCUGAGACGCGAAAGCGUGGGUAGCAAACAGGAUUAGAUACCCUGGUAGUCCACGCCGUAAACGAUGAGUGCUAGGUGUCAGAG
rnacentral:rRNA from 1 species